rnacentral:lncRNA from 1 species
ACUGGAGCACGGAGUAGGGAAAACCGGCGGUGUAGCCCCGGAGCUGCUGCAGAGGAUGUAAUUUCCUUGAGAAACGGACCUCUGUCCAGACUCCCAGACUCGGCGGUGCCGGGCUGUGGGUGGUCCCCUCCCGGAGCAGCAGGACUGGCCGCCGGGCGCAGCGGGGAGGAAGGAGGCCCCGGAGCUAGAUCCCGGAAGACGAAUAACGCGCGCGCGGGGAACAGCAGCCCCUCCCAGCCUCGCCAAAGCAGCGCCAUCGGAACGCGGCAGUCGCCGGCUGGCGCCGCCCGGGGAAACCCCGGGUCUCGAGAUUUGGGUACUGUGUCUUUAAGGGGGCGGGUCCGAUGGGGCGGACCCAGCGCCUACUCUCCCGGCCCCGCCCCCGCCCCCGUUACGCAGGCUCCGCCCCUCUGGGGCGCCCCCCGCGGUGCAGGACAAAGGGGCUCGGCCCAGCUGCAGCAGCGCUAGCCGAGCUUCCAGCCCUCCGACCGGAAGCGAGGAGGAGGGACCCCCCCCCCGCCCCCGGCGGAACCUGUGAUCGGCGCGACUCCGAGGACACCGCGCUUCAGAACAGCUGCUGCAGAAAUAGCUUAUCCUUCCGAGAGCUGGACCUUCACUCCCUGCCGUCGCUGAUUCGGAAGCUGGCAGCCGAGCAGGCCCUGGCGAGCGCCCCAGCGGGUCCCCUGCAGGCGGCGGAGACGGGGAAGCCGCGCCCGCAAGCUUGUCUAGGGUCCCGCGCCGGUUUGCAGCACCUGGAGAAGAAUGACCCUUGUUCCGAAGACAGUAACUUAAGGCCGCGAAGACUGGUUAAAACUACUCUGCGCUCACACACACGGUCCCCUGCGUGGUGCGAGUGCGGGGCGGAGGCACUUUUUUCUCGGAGGAGCCUGCGUGAGGCGGGAUGGAGCCUGCAACCGCGCAGCCGCACCCGCAAGGCUGGCGCUGAAAGGCAGCAGCCAGGGCCCGCGCGCGCUUGUGGAGGCGGCCAGCGCAGAGUGAAGCUAAUUCUCCCUCCUCGCGCUGCGGGAGCCAUGCCCAGCGGGGAGCCUGCAGAGGACAGAGGCUCGAGCCCCCGCCUGGGGGCGCCCUACGCCGAGGCCUGGGGCUACUUCC